rnacentral:lncRNA from 12 species
AAGAGCAGUGUGUAAGAGCAAGAGUGAGAGAGAGAGAGAGAGAGAGAGAGAGAGAGCACGAGUACUCUGAGUUUAUGAGAGCGCCUGCACACGCAUCAUCAGAACAGAGUCACUUCAGUUACCGUAGGACAACACAGCAGAUUGCUAUCACAGAACACUGAGAGGAGGACACUAGAAGAAAGAGAUUGACAGAGAGCCUCUCUUUAUUAAGAGGGCACAUCGGGGGACUGACAAUAGCAGCCAACCAGAAGAGUCAUAGGUCGGUGUGUGCGUGAACUUCUUCACCUUGGUGUCCUAGAGGUCACCACCCCUGCAAAGUGCCGAGAUGAUCCCGGAGGUCUUUCUGAUCUUGUGGCUGACAGGUCACGAACGCUAAAGAAGAAAUUCAGAAGAAAAUACUGGCAGAGCUGUGAUUUAACCUGGUGCUCCGGUUGACGCACACGCUCCUCAGAAAUCAAGGCUAAGUGGAGGAUUCAUCAGAGACCAACCGGGACCACACGCGUCUUCUUCCCAUCACGUCGGUGAAGACUGAUUGGGACAAAUCCUUUUCUCCCUCCGGUGUCAGGUCCCAUUCACUGAUCUGAAUGCUUCUGAAAGAGAGACAAAUGUU